rnacentral:rRNA from 1 species
CAGGCUUAACACAUGCAAGUCGAGGGGCAGCAUGGUCUUAGCUUGCUAAGGCCGAUGGCGACCGGCGCACGGGUGAGUAACACGUAUCCAACCUGCCGUCUACUCUUGGACAGCCUUCUGAAAGGAAGAUUAAUACAAGAUGGCGUCAUGAGUCCACAUGUUCACAUGAUUAAAGGUAUUCCGGUAGACGAUGGGGAUGCGUUCCAUUAGAUGGUAGGCGGGGUAACGGCCCACCUAGUCUUCGAUGGAUAGGGGUUCUGAGAGGAAGGUCCCCCACAUUGGAACUGAGACACGGUCCAAACUCCUACGGGAGGCAGCAGUGAGGAAUAUUGGUCAAUGGGCGAGAGCCUGAACCAGCCAAGUAGCGUGAAGGAUGACUGCCCUAUGGGUUGUAAACUUCUUUUAUAAAGGAAUAAAGUCGGGUAUGGAUACCCGUUUGCAUGUACUUUAUGAAUAAGGAUCGGCUAACUCCGUGCCAGCAGCCGCGGUAAUACGGAGGAUCCGAGCGUUAUCCGGAUUUAUUGGGUUUAAAGGGAGCGUAGAUGGAUGUUUAAGUCAGUUGUGAAAGUUUGCGGCUCAACCGUAAAAUUGCAGUUGAUACUGGAUAUCUUGAGUGCAGUUGAGGCAGGCGGAAUUCGUGGUGUAGCGGUGAAAUGCUUAGAUAUCACGAAGAACUCCGAUUGCGAAGGCAGCCCUGCUAAGCUGCAACUGACAUUGAGGCUCGAAAGUGUGGGUAUCAAACAGGAUUAGAUACCCUGGUAGUCCACACGGUAAACGAUGAAUACUCGCUGUUUGCGAUAUACGGCAAGCGGCCAAGCGAAAGCGUUAAGUAUUCCACCUGGGGAGUACGCCGGCAACGGUGAAACUCAAAGGAAUUGACGGGGGCCCGCACAAGCGGAGGAACAUGUGGUUUAAUUCGAUGAUACGCGAGGAACCUUACCCGGGCUUAAAUUGCAGAUGAAUUACGGUGAAAGCCGUAAGCCGCAAGGCAUCUGUGAAGGUGCUGCAUGGUUGUCGUCAGCUCGUGCCGUGAGGUGUCGGCUUAAGUGCCAUAACGAGCGCAACCCUUGUUGUCAGUUACUAACAGGUUCCGCUGAGGACUCUGACAAGACUGCCAUCGUAAGAUGUGAGGAAGGUGGGGAUGACGUCAAAUCAGCACGGCCCUUACGUCCGGGGCUACACACGUGUUACAAUGGGGGGUACAGAGGGCCGCUACCACGCGAGUGGAUGCCAAUCCCCAAAACCUCUCUCAGUUCGGACUGGAGUCUGCAACCCGACUCCACGAAGCUGGAUUCGCUAGUAAUCGCGCAUCAGCCACGGCGCGGUGAAUACGUUCCCGGGCCUUGUACACACCGCCCGUCAAGCCAUGGGAGCCGGGGGUACCUGAAGUGCGUAACCGCGAGGAGCGCCCUAGGGUAAAACUGGUGACUGGGGC